rnacentral:rRNA from 1 species
GAUGAACGCUGGCGGCGUGCCUAAUACAUGCAAGUCGAGCGAACGGACGAGAAGCUUGCUUCUCUGAUGUUAGCGGCGGACGGGUGAGUAACACGUGGAUAACCUACCUAUAAGACUGGGAUAACUUCGGGAAACCGGAGCUAAUACCGGAUAAUAUUUUGAACCGCAUGGUUCAAAAGUGAAAGACGGUCUUGCUGUCACUUAUAGAUGGAUCCGCGCUGCAUUAGCUAGUUGGUAAGGUAACGGCUUACCAAGGCAACGAUGCAUAGCCGACCUGAGAGGGUGAUCAGCCACACUGGAACUGAGACACGGUCCAGGCUCCUACGGGAGGCAGCAGUAGGGAAUCUUCCGCAAUGGGCGAAAGCCUGACGGAGCAACGCCGCGUGAGUGAUGAAGGUCUUCGGAUCGUAAAACUCUGUUAUUAGGGAAGAACAUAUGUGUAAGUAACUGUGCACAUCUUGACGGUACCUAAUCAGAAAGCCACGGCUAACUACGUG